AAAACAGACCGCCUUAUCGCUGUCCUGAUUUAUUGGGAGGGAGGAAAGUCCGGACACCAUAGAGAAGCAUAGCGGGUAACACCCGUCGGUUCGCCUCGAUAAUUAUCGGGACGGAUUAGGACAAGUGCAACAGAAAGUAUGUACAGGUAAUGCUGUAGUGAAACCAGGUAAACUCUAUGCGGUGAAAUAUCAAGUAUAUCAGCAUUUAAGGGCUUCUCGUCCGUUGCUGAAGGGUAGAUAGCUUGAGCUUAUGAGUAAUUAUAAGUCUAGAUAAAUGGUAAGGGUUCACCUUCUGGUGAAUACAGAAUCCGGCUUAUAGGUCUGUUUUUUUU
rnacentral:RNase_P_RNA from 1 species